CCUGCAUUUAAAAAAAAAAAAAAAAAAGUCAAUUUCAGUAGUACAAGAAAUUCCGAAGCCUUCUGGUAUAUGCUUGAUGUAGAAACUUCAGAUAAUCAUGGAAAAAGCUUUUAAAAAUUACGAAACUUAAAUCCUGCAGGCUCCUAACAGCAGGAGACCCACACCUGCUAUCUUUGUGACCCAUUUCCUGCACUCCCAUGUCUGUCAGUGUCACGGUAUCAGAAGGCACGGGCGGAUGGCGUCCACAGCCGUGCUCAGCUCCUGACCGUAGCCUGAGUGUUCCCACAACAUCAAAUAUCACUGGAAAACAUGGGUCUUAGCGGGCUGUGCCAAGAUCUACGGACUCCUGCUACUGCUGGAGGAAGCGAGCUAAUUCUGUUAGGCCAUUGUGAAGUCACAAAGCAGUGGAACUCUGCCAGCCAAGUCUUUCCACCGUGUCCUUGGAUAAGAGCCCCAGAGCAGAAUUAGGAAGUCAGAGCCCAGGGACACCCUUGGGCUUCCUGCUAGACACGUGGCAGCCCUCCGAGAAGGUCGCACCAGCUCGCUGUGCUAUUGCCGCUUCAAGCUCCUGCUGAAUCCUUCCCAGCUCGGUUUUCAACACAGUGUUCUCUUCAGAAAGCCUCUGAAACUCGACUCUGCGUGAAGAAAUAGAAGCCAGAGAGCACAGUGACACACGGUGGUCUGCGCGCCCCAAGGGUCAGGCCACAGUAAACACAGCAGUUCACCGAUGCGCCGGGCAGCCUGGAUCCCUUCACUUAGUGCCCACGGCUGAUGUGCUCCCGCAUCGUGUAACCUCUACCUGCACAUGUGAGUGUCCUGGUUCCAAUGCCAAGUGCUGGGUGCAAAGGGCGCUCAGCCCCCUGCAGGUGAGCUGAGAAACACAGGGAGCCACAAGACCCGAAUGCACCGGACACAUUCUCCACAGAGUCCCCCACCCAACCUUCCGAGGUCAGCCCUGAAAGGCGGAACGCGGGGGGAUGCCCACUUCAAUGUACAGAGAGACACAUGAGGCAAGGUGAGUCCUUGAGGUGGGAAAGGCAGGAAUGAAAGCCACGGUGAUCCAAGACUGCCUGGGGCAUCUCUGCUUUCUGACAAUUCCACCUCUGCUUAGCUGGCACUGUCAAUUUACGAAAUCAAGCAAUUCGCCAAUACAGUUACCAACUUAAAACCCGUACUUCCUGCCAAGGGAAUUCAAUCUGUUUUCCAAAAUGUCGUUCAAGGGCUAGCAUUGUGGCAUAGCGGGUAAAGCUGCCACCUGCAGUGACCACAUCCCAUAUGGGUACCAGUUCACGUCCCGGCUGUUCCACUUCUGAUCCAGCUCCCUGCUGAUGGCCUGAGAAAAGCAGCGGAAGAUGACCCAAGUGCUUGGGCCCUUGCCAUACUUAUGGGAGACUUGGAAGAAGCUCCUGGCUCCUGGCUGGCCCAGCUCUUGCCAUUGAUGCCAUCUGGGGAGUGAACCAGCAGAUGGAAGAUCUCUGUGUCUCUUUCUCUCUCUGUAUAACCCUGACUUCAAAUAGAUAAAUCUUUUAAAAAAAGUCUUCCAGGACCACAUACAAAAAGUGGCGCAGUAAUAAUUCCUUUUAAAAUAUUAUUUAUUUGAAAGGCAGAGUUAGAGAGAGAGACAGAAUCUUCCAUCCAAUGGUUCAUUUCCCAAAUGGUUACAACAGCUGGGACUGGGCCAGACCAGAGCCAGGAACUUCUUGAAGGUCUCCCACAUGGGUGCAGAGGCCCAAGCACUUAGGCUAUGUCCCACUGUUUUCCCAGGUGCAUUAGCAGGAAGCUGGACCAGAAGCAGAGCAGCCAGGACACAAACUGCCAUUCUGAUGUGGGACCGCUCUGCCCUGGUGGUUGCUUCAGCAGCUGUGCCACGGUGCCUGCCCUGUGGGAAUCUGUUUUUAUACAGAUUGGUGUGGCCGACGUGUAUUCUCCUGAGCAGGUGAUCUGUGGCGUUAGUGCCUCAUUUGUCCAUCUAGAAACACCCAGAGCCACACAAUCUUGUCCUAUCCAAACGUGUCCUUGGGCCAUGCCGUCGUUCUGCACAGCGGAGGGUGCAGUCACACGAACUGACAGGCUGGCGGCGUCGCUGGGCAGGAUAACCUCACAGGACCACCACAGCACAUGCGGUCCAUGCUGAUGGAGAUGUUACGUGGGACGUGGCUGUGUGAGAGCUUCCCUCGCUGUAUUCCCUGCGACAGCCAGAAACUACGAACUACCUGACGGCAUCAGCGGGAGGAAAGUAUGUACAGUGUGGUGCAUCAGUCACCAAGGGGCACCCACUGCAGGUAAAGGGCAAUGCAGCUCACAAGCUGUUACCCUGUGGCCGCGAGCAGGGGCUUCUUGUCAUUCGACAAGUCACAUCCGAACACCAGCCUCAGCCCCUUGUGAGGGAAGGUAAGACCUCCGUCUUGAGGUGCCCUAGGAAUAUCAUCCUCUGGGUCCCAGGGACCCUCUGCCCUUUGGCUCCCAGAGUGAAUGAGGGGACAGGGUCCUGACAAAAACCCGGCUCUUUUUUUAUCUUGCCUUAUUGAAGCAAUCCAAAAAUACACCAAUUUAGGGGCAGGCGCUGUGGCGCAGUGGGUAAAGCUGCUGCCUGCAGUGCCGGCAACCCAUGUGGGCGCCAGUUUGAGUCCCGGCUGCUCCACUUCCGAUCUGGCUCUCUGCUAUGGAAGAUGGCCCAGGUCCUUGGACCCCUGCACCCUCGUGGGAGACCCAGAAGAAGCUCCUGGACCCUGGCUUCAGAUCAGCCCAGCUCCGGCCAUUGUGGCCAGUUGGAGAGUUAACCAGUGGAUGAAGGAUCUCUCUCUCUAUCUCUGCCUCUCUUUCUCUCUGUGUAACUCUGACUUCUGAAUAAAUAAAUCAAUUUUUAACAAAAAAAAA